UGGCGUCAGUGUUGGGAAUCAAACUUUUGAAAUGUUCACAUGCCGAGACUCGUUCAUUUUUAACGUCAUAUAGUAACUCUACAUCGAUUACAGACAUUUUUCACAAGUUCAUCCAUUCAAAACGUCCAGUGAUAAACAGAAAAUUAAAGUGAAAGUGACAGUUUCGUCCUCGGAAGAUGGAGGAUAAUUUGAAAUUGAUUGGCAAGGAGACAGAUGAAUCUGAUCGGCCAUCGUUGAAACCUAUGGUAGUUUCCACUAGCACAAACAAAUUAGCGACCUCAUAGCCCCGACGCUGAGGAAGUAAAUGCAACAAUUACAGACCAGCAUCACAAGCGAGCUGAACAACUUGCUAUUCCAGAUGAUGUUGAUACUGACCAAGCCAGCAGCAAUAGUGCCACUGAUCAACCUGUUCAUGACCACGCUGGUGAUUUACAGAGGUUUCAUCUGCAGAGCCUGGCCAUGUUGUUGGACAGACCAAUCCAGCUGCAAAGGGACUUGCAAUACUAGUGGAAGGACCGAGCCAGAGGCAACCAGCUGUAGGACAUAGCUUGAGGGAACCAACCUUCUCAAUGACCGAUCAAACAGCACGAGGAGUCAUUCACUGCUGUGAAUGUAAUGAACCUCGACUCUACUACAGUCGCACCAAGUUGACAUGCAAACAAAACCUUUUGAUAGCUAAAUGUAUAUCUGAAUUCACCUUUACCUGUGGGGCUCCUAUUGCCCAUCCUUCUUACUUGAGUUUAAGAGGUGUAGUAUCCAGAAAACUUACUUGUGGCAACCGAUAGAAGUUUGUUUCUAUGCAAGUAAAUUGAGCAACAGAGUGGAUGUGUGUUGUCAUUGUGGGGACACUGGCGGUGUGAUUGAUACCACUUUGAAAGCCAAAUUCAAAUCUUUGUUACCCAUUUGUGAGAACUCCCCGGAUAAUGGAAAACAUCCAAUAACCCAACGCCCAUAUGGAAAAUAAUUCCUGUUGAACACAAUUGGAACAUUCAUAUACAUUAUAUGUGGAAAUGACACCGAUAAUAGAUUUGUGAUAUUCUUUUCUUUUAUUUUCUUUGAUAACAUUGUUAAUUGAUUGAAAGAGAUAAACCUAUACAAAAUCCGACUUCCGUGUGUUUAUAUCUGAAGAAAAAUGUGUACUUUUUUGAAUUAUAAAGAAAGCAUUAGACAUUUAUAUAUAAUAUUGUAACUGAUAAAUUGUGUUGAUGGCUAAAGGAAAGAUUUGUGCCUAAAUAAAUGUGAAUUUAUUCAUGUGAACAUGUUAAGAUUUGACCAUUUUAUAUUCAUUUAUUUUACAAAAGUGAUAUACCCUGAUAUAGGUCUAGGGUUUGGUAU